rnacentral:tRNA from 1 species
GGUCCGGUGGCAGAGUGGUUAUGCGGAGGACUGCAAAUCCUUAUACGUCGGUUCGAUUCCGGCCCGGACCUCCA